CUUCUUUCCUCUCUACUUUCCCUCUUGUGUUCAGAGUUUACCAAGGAACACCUCCACCGGAGGUGUUUGUUGACUUGUUACCGGCGAGAAAAGAGGCAGCAGCCUCUCGGAAAUUGCUCCCUGUUUAACCACACUUCGAGAUAGCCAAACACCCUCCCUGGAUCGAUCUUGUUGCUGUCAAUUAUUUCCCUCAAGUGCUGCUGCGAAACAGGAACGAAAAAGGGCGAGAAAGCUGCCGGAAACAUCCCCUGACAACCCGUUUCUGUCGACAGCCCAUGUAGUUGUUUUGGGUAUCGGGUCUUGAACGAAGCACAAACCCCACUGAAUCCUCCCGUCUAAACUCGGGAAUCACGCUCCAAAUGUGUUCAAGGUGGCCAGAAGAACUCUCACCACGUGUGAGGAUGACGGGUUUGACGUUGAAAACAAAUUGUUGGCUCUAUAGUAGCCUUUUGUCUCUUUUAUGUUGUAAGAAAUUGAAAUCCACGUAUAACGCUUUUGGACUAUUAAUCAGUGUGUUUUGUCAUAUUCAUACUUCAGAUGAAUGUAAUGUCAAAUAAAUUCUGUAAUUAUUUCAUUAUAUGUUGUUGACUAUGAUCUAAAUGUUUAAGUCGUAGCCUCAGCGUUUCUGCCGUUGGUCGGGGUGUGACAUGUAAUAUAUUUCCUUGAUAUUACAUGACCAUGUAACACCCAUCUCUGUCCACAAGAUAGUUGUAUCACCUAAAUAAUGUACUUUGUUCGAUUUGUUUCCAAACUUCAUAUAUGAGUCUUAAUGAACUAAGUGAGUUCAAAUUACAUUAUCUUAUCUCAAUUAAGUCCAAUAAUUACUAUAACUUAAUGAUUAAGUCAAUUCAAUGCCACAAGAGCUAUAAAGAAACUCAUGUAACCAACAAACACCAAUUUUGGCUGAAAAGCUUUUAAUAGCUUCUAACUUGUUCCUAUCUAUUCCAACCAACUAAUAUGUUCUUAAUAAACUACAAAAAAAAUUAAUAAACAUCUUAAUGUAACAGCCCGGAUUUCCAGGUAUCUUUUAUGUUUAUGUCUUUGGUGUUUUGAGAGGGGACUCGGUGAGUUGGAGCUCAGACUCGCCGAGUAGGAUCGCGGUUUUGGACGCGGGUUCGCGCCUGGACUCGGCGAGUCCAAGGUAUGGACUCGGCAAGUCUGCACUGUUUAAUGAAACCCUAAUUUCUCAGGUUUGGGACCUAUUUAAAGGGCCUUUAGGCCGUCAUUUGUGCUCACCAUUCCCUUGAGUGAAACCCUAGCAAGUGUGAGCGUUUGGAACAAAGUAGGAAGCCAUUAUUGACCUUGGAGGUAUCUUUUUGCAAGGAAAAAGAAGAAUUAGCUAAGGGAAAGCAAGGGGAGCCACUUCCUGAAGGCUUGAGGUCCAGAACAUCGCAUUUGAGGAGGAUUAUAGCUCGGAGGAUCGAGCACGAGGGAUUUCAGGAUUCGUGAGUCAUCGAGAUACACGAGGUACUAGCGAUGACCGUGGGAAGGCGUCGGCUUGAUCUGUACACACGCAUGGGAUUUUUGAUAUACAUUGAUCUUGGGAUUUUGUAUAAUGUGAAUUGAGAUUUAAACUUGAUGUUUUUAUGAAAAGUUAAGAAGAAAUGUUUUCAUAAAUUGUGAAAAAUUAUUUUGAAAUUCACGGUGUUACACUUAAUAACUCAAAAAUAGAAGUAUCGAAAACUUGGA